rnacentral:rRNA from 1 species
UGACGGCGUACCUUUUGUAUAAUGGGUCAACGACUUAGUGUGACAAGCGAGCUUAAGCCGGUAGGUGUAGGCGUAGCGAAAGUGAGUCUGAAUAGGGCGUUUAGUUUGUUGCAUUAGACCCGAAACCGAGUGAUCUAGCCAUGAGCAGGUUGAAGGUUGGGUAACACCAAUUGGAGGACCGAACCCGUAUCUGUUGCAAUAGAUUGGGAUGACUUGUGGCUAGGGGUGAAAGGCCAAUCAAACUCGGAGAUAGCUGGUUCUCCGCGAAAUCUAUUUAGGUAGAGCGUUAACUGAAUACCCUCGGGGGUAGAGCACUGGAUAGGCUAUGGGGGCUUACCGCCUUACUGCUCCUAACCAAACUCCGAAUACCGAGGAGUACUAGUUGGCAGACACACAGUGGGUGCUAACGUCCAUUGUGGAGAGGGCAACAACCCUGACCUCCAUCUAAGGUCCCGAAGUCAUGGCUAAGUGGGAAAGGAUGUGAAGAUCCCAAAACAACCAGGAUGUUGGCUUAGAAGCAGCCAUCAUUUAAAGAAAGCGUAACAGCUCACUGGUCUAGAUAAGGAUUUUUGCGCCGAAAAUGUUACGGGGCUAAAGCCAUGCACCGAAGAUGAGGAUUUGUUUAUUUUUAAACGAGUGGUAGCGGAGCGUUCCGUAAGCUGAUGAAGGAGGACUUGUGAGA